GCUUAUAUUUAUAUAUAUUAAUAUUAAUUCUAAUAAUUUAUAUAUAUUAAUCUUAAUAGAAAUUUGUACAUAUUAUUGAAGUAAAUUAACAAGAGUGUAAGACACGAGGCGGGGGCAUGGACGGCAGAAAGGCCCCGCUCCAGAGCCGAACAGGCCCUGUUAUCACACGAAGCAGGGCCUGUGGCUGGGCUAUAAAAGGCCACUGGCAGCUCCAUAUGGGGAUUGAGAGACCGUAAACGAGAUAUCGGGUGAAAAGAGUGUCAAAAGUAAAAAUGAUAAGUGAAAGUCAACGCGAGUGGCAAAUAAGUACAUCGAAGAACUCCCAGGAUAUCGUGGGAACAUCAAGGACAUCCAGAGGGAAUCCUUACAACGACUAUCACAGGAUAAGAGGCAAUCAGGAUCGCCAGCGGCACCAACAAGGACAUUAGUGCGGACGAGGACAACCACAGCAGCUUAAGCGGGGCCUGCAGAUACCGAGUGAGUAAGUUCACGUAGCCGUGCGUAAGAGAAUAGUUGUGAGUGAAACGAAGCUAGCGUGUCUUAACACAACACUCUCCCAGCCGGAGUACGCUGAGCCAGCACUCGGCAUUCUGUGGCAGGUGUGCCUUGCGAAAGCGAAUCAUCAAAUAAUUGUACUAUAAGUGAAGUGUAAAAUUUUAAACUUAUUCAAGACAAUAUACUUUACGUUUCUGAACCAUAAA